CCUACGGGGGGCUGCAGUGGGGAAUAUUGGACAAUGGGCGAAAGCCUGAUCCAGCCAUGCCGCGUGUGUGAAGAAGGCCUUCGGGUUGUAAAGCACUUUCAGUGGGGAAGAAAGCCUUGGGGCUAAUACCCUCGAGGAAGGACAUCACCCACAGAAGAAGCACCGGCUAACUCCGUGCCAGCAGCCGCGGUAAUACGGAGGGUGCGAGCGUUAAUCGGAAUUACUGGGCGUAAAGCGCGCGUAGGCGGUCUGAUAAGCCGGUUGUGAAAGCCCCGGGCUCAACCUGGGAACGGCAUCCGGAACUGUCAGGCUAGAGUGCAGGAGAGGAAGGUAGAAUUCCCGGUGUAGCGGUGAAAUGCGUAGAGAUCGGGAGGAAUACCAGUGGCGAAGGCGGCCUUCUGGACUGACACUGACGCUGAGGUGCGAAAGCGUGGGUAGCAAACAGGAUUAGAUACCCGAGUAGUC
rnacentral:rRNA from 1 species